rfam:Triticum aestivum genome assembly, contig: Triticum_aestivum_CS42_TGACv1_scaffold_328597_4BS
GUAGUAUUCCCCUCGUCCCAAAAUUCUUGUCUUACAUUUGUUUAGAUAUGGAUGUAUCUAACACUAAAAUGUAACUAGAUACAUCCGUAUUUAGACAAAUUUAAGACAAGAAUUUUGGGACGGAGGGAGUACAAA